CGAACAAAAGGCGGAGGUUGAGGAGAAGAAUGAGGAGAAGCUGGCGUUCGGAGAAAAGGAAACUUUUCGCUCAAUGGUAGCAGAAUACCGCAGAAGUGAAAAAGUCCUGCGAGAAAAGAUCCAGGUUUCAUCUUCUGUUGCUCAUCACCAUCUCUUCCUCUUUCUUCUCGUCGACUUUACCGUCGCAUAUAAGACGGGAAAGUUAGGAUGAGCAUGUUUUCCGACUUUCAGCUGCUUCGUCGACUGUAUGCUUUCUUUCGGCGGAUACGAAACGAUGGUGCUUCGUUAUACCGAAGCUUUCUAUUUGCCUAUGUGGUAAC